rnacentral:rRNA from 1 species
UACGUAGGGGGCAAGCGUUGUCCGGAAUCAUUGGGCGUAAAGCGCGCGUAGGCGGCCCGGUAAGUCGGGUGUGAAAUUUCGAGGCUUAACUUCGAAACUGCAUUCGAUACUGCCGUGCUAGAGGACUGGAGAGGAGACUGGAAUUUACGGUGUAGCGGUGAAAUGCGUAGAUAUCGUAAGGAAGACCAGUGGCGAAGGCGGGUCUCUGGACAGUUCCUGACGCUGAGGCACGAAGGCCGGGGGAGCAAACAGG